GACGUAGGGCGCAAGCGUUGUCCGGAAUUAUUGGGCGUAAAGAGCUCGUAGGCGGUUUGUCGCGUCUGCUGUGAAAACCCGAGGCUCAACCUCGGGCCUGCAGUGGGUACGGGCAGACUAGAGUGCGGUAGGGGAGAUUGGAAUUCCUGGUGUAGCGGUGGAAUGCGCAGAUAUCAGGAGGAACACCGAUGGCGAAGGCAGAUCUCUGGGCCGUAACUGACGCUGAGGAGCGAAAGCAUGGGGAGCGAACAGGA
rnacentral:rRNA from 1 species